rnacentral:rRNA from 1 species
UGGGGAAUAUUGCACAAUGGGCGCAAGCCUGAUGCAGCCAUGCCGCGUGUGUGAAGAAGGCCUUCGGGUUGUAAAGCACUUUCAGCGAGGAGGAAGGUGGUGAACUUAAUACGUUCAUCAAUUGACGUUACUCGCAGAAGAAGCACCGGCUAACUCCGUGCCAGCAGCCGCGGUAAUACGGAGGGUGCAAGCGUUAAUCGGAAUUACUGGGCGUAAAGCGCACGCAGGCGGUUUGUUAAGUCAGAUGUGAAAUCCCCGGGCUCAACCUGGGAACUGCAUUUGAAACUGGCAAGCUAGAGUCUCGUAGAGGGGGUAGAAUUCCAGGUGUAGCGGUGAAAUGCGUAGAGAUCUGGAGGAAUACCGGUGGCGAAGGCGGCCCCCUGGACGAAGACUGACGCUCAGGUGCGAAAGCGUGGGAGCAAACAGGAUUAGAUACCCUGGUAGUCCACGCUGUAAACGAUGUCGAUUUUGGAGGUUGUGCCCUUGAGGCGUGGCUUCCGGAGCUAACGCGUU